UACGGGGGGGGGUAAGCGUUGUUCGGAAUUACUGGGCGUAAAGGGCGCGUAGGCGGCCCGCUAAGUCGAACGUGAAAUCCCCGAGCUCAACUCGGGAACUGCGUCCGAUACUGGCGGGCUUGAAUCCGGGAGAGGGAUGCGGAAUUCCAGGUGUAGCGGUGAAAUGCGUAGAUAUCUGGAGGAACACCGGUGGCGAAGGCGGCAUCCUGGACCGGCAUUGACGCUGAGGCGCGAAAGCUAGGGGAGCAAACGGG
rnacentral:rRNA from 1 species